rnacentral:rRNA from 1 species
UAAUGGCCUACCAAGGCGACGAUCAGUAGCUGGUCUGAGAGGAUGAUCAGCCACAUUGGGACUGAGACACGGCCCAAACUCCUACGGGAGGCAGCAGUGGGGAAUAUUGGACAAUGGGCGCAAGCCUCAUCCAGCCAUGCCGCGUGAGUGAUGAAGGCCCUAGGGUUGUAAAGCUCUUUUGUACGGGAAGAUAAUGACGGUACCGUAAGAAUAAGCCCCGCCUAACUUCGUGCCAGCAGCCGCGGUAAUACGAAGGGGGCUAGCGUUGCUCGGAAUCACUAGGCGUAAAGGGUGGGUAGGCGGGUUUUUAAGUCAGAGGUGAAAUCAUAAAGCUACAACUCCAGAACUGCCUUUGAUACUGAAAGUCUUGAGUAUGGGAGAGGUGAGUGGAACUGCGAGUGUAGAGGUGAAAUU